AUGGGGAGCGUCGGGCGGCCGGAGGUGGAGUUAUCUAGCCCGCCGCCGCCGCCGCCGCCGCCGGCGGCUGCAGGAGCAGGCUCUGCGGACGCCGGGCAAGAGAAGCCCGCCCAGAACGGCGGACCGGCGACCGGCGCCGCACCGGCGAUGGGCGAGGAAGGCACGGAGUACCGGGGCCUCCCUGGCGGCGCGGGCGCGGGCGCCGCGCCAGCGCCAUCGCCGGCGUCGCUCUCGAUCGUCCCGCUCAUCUUCAUCAUCUUCUACGAGGUCUCCGGCGGGCCGUUCGGGAUCGAGGACAGCGUGGGCGCGGCGGGGCCGCUCCUCGCCAUCGCGGGCUUCCUCGCCCUCCCCGUCAUCUGGAGCGUCCCGGAGGCGCUCAUCACGGCGGAGCUGGGCACCAUGUUCCCGGAGAACAGCGGGUACGUCGUGUGGGUGGCCUCGGCGCUCGGCCCCUACUGGGGGUUCCAGCAGGGGUGGAUGAAGUGGCUCAGCGGCGUCAUCGACAAUGCGCUCUACCCCGUCCUCUUCUUGGACUACCUCAAGUCCGGCGUCCCGGCGCUGGGCGGCGGCGCGCCCAGGACCGGCGCUGUCCUUGGGCUGACCGCGCUGCUGACGCUCCUCAACUACCGCGGGCUCACCGUCGUUGGGUGGGCUGCCAUCAGCCUCGGGGUCUUCUCCCUCCUGCCUUUCCUCGUCAUGGGCUUCAUCUCCAUCCCCAAGCUCCGGCCGGCGAGGUGGCUCGAGGUGGAUCUCCACAACGUCGACUGGAACCUGUACCUGAACACUCUGUUCUGGAACCUCAACUACUGGGACUCGAUCAGCACGUUGUCCGGCGAGAUCAGGAACCCUGCGAAGACUCUGCCCAAGGCCCUGUUCUACGCGGUCAUCUUCGUGGUCGUCGGCUACCUGUACCCUCUCCUCACCGGGACCGGCGCGGUGCCUCUGGACAGGGAGCAGUGGACGGACGGCUACUUCGCGGACAUCGCGAAGCUGCUCGGCGGCGCGUGGCUGAUGUGGUGGAUGCAGGCGGCGGCGGCGAUGUCGAACAUGGGCAUGUUCGUGGCGGAGAUGAGCAGCGACUCGUACCAGCUCCUGGGCAUGGCAGAGCGGGGCAUGCUGCCGGCCUUCUUCGCCACCCGUUCGCGGUACGGGACCCCGCUGGUCGGCAUCCUCUUCUCGGCCUCCGGCGUGCUGCUGCUCUCGACGAUGAGCUUCCAGGAGAUCGUGGCGGCCGAGAACUUCCUCUACUGCUUCGGUAUGCUCCUCGAAUUCCUGUCGUUCGUCCUGCUGAGGGUGAGGCGGCCCGACGCCCCGCGGCCGUACAGGGUGCCGCUGGGCACAGCCGGGUGCGUGGCGAUGCUGGUGCCCGCGACGGCGCUGAUCGUGGCGGUGCUCGCGCUGUCGACGCUCAAGGUGGCGCUGGUGAGCCUCGGCGCCGUGGCUGUCGGGCUCGUGCUGCAGCCGGUGCUCAAGUUCGUGGAGAAGAAGCGGUGGCUCAGGUUCUCCGUCAACUCGGACCUCCCCGGCAUCGACGUGAACCACCAGCCCGCCGCCCCCGACGAGCCGUUGAUCGUGUAG
rnacentral:rRNA from 1 species